UGUACAUUUUAAUCUGAAUAAUUCUUCAGGAUUUAAAAUUAAUUGGCUCUGGCGUGGUUGGACUGCACUGGGAUCUCGCCACCUCUGCGUUCCCCGAGUCACUGGUGAAGAGGUGAUGAUUUUUUUUUUUUUUUUGAACUGGGUUUAUGUGAGUCCCCCUCACCCCCUCCUCUCUUUUUCUUUCUCUCUGUCUCUGUCGUCUCUCUCCUUGGCUUUUUAAAAAUGAGGAACGGUUCCCCGAACGUUCUGGACAGAGCACAGAAUUGCUGCUUAAGUCAGCCCGGCGCGGUUGCAAAUAGACAGCCAAAAGGUAAACGUUUGCCAGAAACCCGCACGCCAGCUCCGCCACCCCGCCGGAUGGUUUUCCUCUCCUUUACUUGGAAGGCAAAAGAAAGAGUGGACUUGCUCUUCUGAACUGCGACCCAGUGGUUUCCUAGCGCUCUGGUUAGAGUGAACAAAUGCGCAGUACACAUUACCAGGACUCAAAGGUUGUGCCUGAAUCUACAGCAAAGAGGAAACCUUCACAAGCCUAGGAGCCAGCGCCCAGCACAGCACCACAGGACUGAAGGCAUGACCCACCAUGCCUAGAAUCUCCACCAGGGACACCAUUCACCUCUUUGUGGUGAGAUCUGCUGCAGCCCGGGGACUUUCAGGUUGAGUUUGCUGAUCAGAUGCUCAGCUCUUUCUGAUUUAGGCCCUACUUCUCCUCUUACUACAAAAGAAAUGUGUGUCUGCUAUAGACAAAUUUCUAGCACAUAGAGAAAUAGAA